GCUGGCGGCGUGCCUAACACAUGCAAGUCGAACGAGGUAGCAAUACCUAGUGGCAGACGGGUGAGUAACACGUGGUCAACCUGCCUUUGUGUGGGGGAUAACUAGCCGAAAGGUUAGCUAAUACCGCAUACGAUCGCUCUGGGGCAUCCCUAGGCGAUGAAAGGAGCAAUCCGCACAAAGAGGGGACUGCGUCCCAUUAGUUAGUUGGUGGGGUAAUGGCCUACCAAGACUCCGAUGGGUAGCUGGCUUGAGAGAGCGAUCAGCCACACUGGAACUGAGACACGGUCCAGACUCCUACGGGAGGCAGCAGUGAGGAAUUUUCCGCAAUGGGCGAAAGCCUGACGGAGCGACGCCGCGUGUGGGAAGAAGGCCUUCGGGUCGUAAACCACUGUCGAAGGGGACGAUAUUGACGGUACCCUUGGAGGAAGCCCCGGCUAACUACGUGCCAGCAGCCGCGGUAAGACGUAGGGGGCAAGCGUUGUCCGGAAUUAUUGGGCGUAAAGCGCUCGUAGGUGGAUUGACAAGUCUGCAAGCAGAGACCCGGGCUCAACUCGGGAAUCCGUGUGGAAAC
rnacentral:rRNA from 1 species